rnacentral:rRNA from 1 species
CCUACGGGAGGCAGCAGUGGGGAAUAUUGGGCAAUGGGCGCAAGCCUGACCCAGCAACGCCGCGUGAAGGAAGAAGGCUUUCGGGUUGUAAACUUCUUUUCUGGGGGACGAACAAAUGACGGUACCCCAGGAAUAAGCCACGGCUAACUACGUGCCAGCAGCCGCGGUAAUACGUAGGUGGCAAGCGUUAUCCGGAUUUAUUGGGUGUAAAGGGCGUGUAGGCGGGAAUGCAAGUCAGAUGUGAAAACUCAGGGCUCAACCCUGAGCCUGCAUUUGAAACUGUGUUUCUUGAGUGCUGGAGAGGCAAUCGGAAUUCCGUGUGUAGCGGUGAAAUGCGUAGAUAUACGGAGGAACACCAGUGGCGAAGGCGGAUUGCUGGACAGUAACUGACGCUGAGGCGCGAAAGCGUGGGGAGCAAACAGGAUUAGAUAC